rnacentral:rRNA from 1 species
AGUUACCAUCAUUAAUUGGGGACUCUAGCGAGACUGCCAGUGAUAAACUGGAGGAAGGUGGGGAUGAGUCAAAUCAUCAUGCCCCUUAUGACCUGGGCUACAAACGUGAUACAAUGGCUGGAACAAAGGGAUGCGAAGCAGUGAUGUGGAGCGAAACCCAUAAAAACAGUCUCAGUUCGGAUUGAAGUCUGCAACUCGACUUCAUGAAGUCGGAAUCGCUAGUAAUCGCGGAUCAGAACGCCGCGGUGAAUACGUUCUCGGGUU